CUUGCUCUGGCGGAUCAGUGGCGAACGGGUGAGUAACACGUGAGUAACCUGCCCCCGACUCUGGGAUAACUGCUAGAAAUGGUAGCUAAUACCGGAUAUGACGAUUGGCCGCAUGGUCUGGUCGUGGAAAGAAUUUCGGUUGGGGAUGGACUCGCGGCCUAUCAGGUUGUUGGUGAGGUAAUGGCUCACCAAGCCUACGACGGGUAGCCGGCCUGAGAGGGUGACCGGCCACACUGGGACUGAGACACGGCCCAGACUCCUACGGGAGGCAGCAGUGGGGAAUAUUGCACAAUGGGCGAAAGCCUGAUGCAGCAACGCCGCGUGAGGGAUGACGGCCUUCGGGUUGUAAACCUCUUUUAGUAGGGAAGAAGCGAAAGUGACGGUACCUGCAGAAAAAGCACCGGCUAACUACGUGCCAGCAGCCGCGGUAAUACGUAGGGUGCAAGCGUUGUCCGGAAUUAUUGGGCGUAAAGAGCUCGUAGGCGGUUUGUCGCGUCUGCUGUGAAAUCCCGAGGCUCAACCUCGGGUCUGCAGUGGGUACGGGCAGACUAGAGUGCGGUAGGGGAGAUUGGAAUUCCUGGUGUAGCGGUGGAAUGCGCAGAUAUCAGGAGGAACACCGAUGGCGAAGGCAGAUCUCUGGGCCGUAACUGACGCUGAGGAGCGAAAGCAUGGGGAGCGAACAGGAUUAGAUACCCUGGUAGUCCAUGCCGUAAACGUUGGGAACUAGAUGUGGGGACCAUUCCACGGUCUCCGUGUCGCAGCUAACGCAUUAAGUUCCCCGCCUGGGGAGUACGGCCGCAAGGCUAAAACUCAAAGGAAUUGACGGGGGCCCGCACAAGCGGCGGAGCAUGCGGAUUAAUUCGAUGCAACGCGAAGAACCUUACCAAGGCUUGACAUAUACCGGAAACAUGCAGAAAUGUGUGCCCCGCAAGGUCGGUAUACAGGUGGUGCAUGGUUGUCGUCAGCUCGUGUCGUGAGAUGUUGGGUUAAGUCCCGCAACGAGCGCAACCCUCGUUCUAUGUUGCCAGCACGUAAUGGUGGGAACUCAUAGGAGACUGCCGGGGUCAACUCGGAGGAAGGUGGGGAUGACGUCAAAUCAUCAUGCCCCUUAUGUCUUGGGCUUCACGCAUGCUACAAUGGCCGGUACAAAGGGCUGCGAUACCGUAAGGUGGAGCGAAUCCCAAAAAGCCGGUCUCAGUUCGGAUUGAGGUCUGCAACUCGACCUCAUGAAGUCGGAGUCGCUAGUAAUCGCAGAUCAGCAACGCUGCGGUGAAUACGUUCCCGGGCCUUGUACACACCGCCCGUCAAGUCAUGAAAGUCGGUAACACCCGAAGCCAGUGGCCUAACCGCAAGGGAGGAGCUGUCGAAGGUGGGAUCGGUGAUUAGGACUAAGUCGUAACAAGGUAGCCGUACCGGAAGGUGCGGCUGGAUCACCUCCUUU
rnacentral:rRNA from 1 species